AGUGAACGCUGGCGGUAGGCCUAACACAUGCCAGUCGAACGGCAGCACAGUAAGAGCUUGCUCUUACGGGUGGCGAGUGGCGGACGGGUGAGGAAUACAUCGGAAUCUACUUUUUCGUGGGGGAUAACGUAGGGAAACUUACGCUAAUACCGCAUACGACCUACGGGUGAAAGCAGGGGAUCUUCGGACCUUGCGCGAUUGAAUGAGCCGCUGUCGGAUUAGCUAGUUGGCGGGGUAAAGGCCCACCAAGGCGACGAUCCGUAGCUGGUCUGAGAGGAUGAUCAGCCACACUGGAACUGAGACACGGUCCAGACUCCUACGGGAGGCAGCAGUGGGGAAUAUUGGACAAUGGGCGCAAGCCUGAUCCAGCCAUACCGCGUGGGUGAAGAAGGUCUUCGGGUUGUAAAGCCCUUUUGUUGGGAAAGAAAAGCAGCAGGUUAAUACCCCGCUGUUCUGACGGUACCCAAAGAAUAAGCACCGGCUAACUUCGUG
rnacentral:rRNA from 1 species